rnacentral:rRNA from 1 species
AACGAACGCUGGCGGCACGCUUAACACAUGCAAGUCGAACGGAUGAUAGCAAUAUCAUUAGUGGCGAACGGGUGAGUACAAAGUAGGAACCUGCCCUUGGGGUAGGGGAUAACUAUGGGAAACUAUAGCUAAUACCCUAUAAGCCCUUUGGGGAAAGAUAUAUUGCCGAAGGAAGGGCCUACGUCGGAUUAGGUAGUUGGUGGGGUAAAGGCCUACCAAGCCUGAGAUCCGUAGCUGGUCUGAGAGGACGAUCAGCCACACUGGGACUGAGACACGGCCCAGACUCCUACGGGAGGCAGCAGUGGGGAAUAUUGGACAAUGGGGGAAACCCUGAUCCAGCGAUGCCGCGUGAGUGAUGAAGGUCUUCGAUUGUAAAGCUCUUUUGGCAGGGACGAUGAUGACGGUACCUGCAGAAUAAGCUCCGGCUAACUUCGUGCUAGCAGCCGCGGUAAUGAUGAGACGU